rnacentral:rRNA from 1 species
AGAGUUUGAUCAUGGCUCAGGACGAACGCUGGCGGCGUGCCUAAUACAUGCAAGUCGAGCGGACGAAUCGAAAGCUUGCUUUUGAUUCGUUAGCGGCGGACGGGUGAGUAACACGUGGGCAACCUGCCCUGUAGACGGGGAUAACACCGAGAAAUCGGUGCUAAUACCGGAUAACACGAAAUGUCGCAUGACGUUUCGUUGAAAGACGGCGCAAGCUGUCGCUACAGGAUGGGCCCGCGGCGCAUUAGCUAGUUGGUGAGGUAACGGCUCACCAAGGCGACGAUGCGUAGCCGACCUGAGAGGGUGAUCGGCCACACUGGGACUGAGACACGGCCCAGACUCCUACGGGAGGCAGCAGUAGGGAAUCUUCCGCAAUGGACGAAAGUCUGACGGAGCAACGCCGCGUGAGCGAAGAAGGCCUUCGGGUCGUAAAGCUCUGUUGUUAGGGAAGAACAAGUAACGCAGUAACUGGCGUUACCGUGACGGUACCUAACGAGAAAGCCACGGCUAACUACGUGCCAGCAGCCGCGGUAAUACGUAGGUGGCAAGCGUUGUCCGGAAUUAUUGGGCGUAAAGCGCGCGCAGGCGGUUCCUUAAGUCUGAUGUGAAAGCCCACGGCUCAACCGUGGAGGGUCAUUGGAAACUGGGGGACUUGAGUGCAGAAGAGGAGAGCGGAAUUCCACGUGUAGCGGUUGAAAUGCGUAGAGAUGUGGAGGAACACCAGUGGCGAAAGGCGGCUCUCUGGUCUGUAACUGACGCUGAGGCGCGAAAGCGUGGGGAGCAAACAGGAUUAGAUACCC